GCCGGGCGUGGUGACACACGCCUAUAAUCCCAGCUACUCGGGAGGCUGAGGCAGGGGGAUCGCUUGAACCCGGGAGGUGGAGGCUGCAGUGAGCCAAGAUCAUGCCAUUGCACUCCAGCCUGGGCAACAGAGUGAGACCCUGCCUCAA
rnacentral:SRP_RNA from 1 species